rnacentral:rRNA from 1 species
UACGGGGGGGGCAAGCGUUGUUCGGAAUUACUGGGCGUAAAGCGUCCGCAGGUGGCUAUUCAAGUCUGCUGUCAAAGCUCGGAGCUUAACUCCGAAUCGGCGGUGGAAACUGAACAGCUAGAGUGCAGUAGGGGUAGAGGGAAUUCCCAGUGUAGCGGUGAAAUGCGUAGAGAUUGGGAAGAACACCGGUGGCGAAAGCGCUCUACUGGACUGCAACUGACACUCAGGGACGAAAGCUAGGGGAGCGAAUGGG